AAAAGGAAGAUUGCAGUGGCGGACGGGUGAGUAACGCGUAAGAACUUACCUUUUGGUGGGGGAUAACAGCGGGAAACUGCUGCUAAUACCCCAUAAUGCUGAGGAGACUAAAAGUAGAAAACUGCCAAGAGAGAGGCUUGCGUCUGAUUAGAUAGUUGGUGAGGUAAAGGCUCACCAAGUCGACGAUCGUUAACUGGUCUGAGAGGAUGAUCAGUCAGACUGGAACUGAGACACGGUCCAGACUCCUACGGGGAGGCAGCAGUAAGGAUCUUCCACAAUGGGGGCAACCCUGAUGGAGCAACACCGCGUGAAGGAUGAAGGCCCUCGGGUCGUAAACUUCUUUAUAAGUGAGGAAUAUGACGGUAACUUAUGAAUAAGGGUCGGCUAACUACGUG
rnacentral:rRNA from 1 species